rnacentral:tRNA from 1 species
GUGGCCGUAGCUCAAUGGCAGAGCUGCGGGAUGUGACCCCGCCGGUGCCGGUUCGACUCCGGCCGGUCACCCCC